rnacentral:rRNA from 1 species
UACAGAGGGGGCAAGCGUUGUUCGGAAUUACUGGGCGUAAAGGGCGCGUAGGCGGCCUGCUAAGUCGAACGUGAAAUCCCUGGGCUCAACCCAGGAACUGCGUCCGAUACUGGUUGGCUUGAAUCCGGGAGAGGGAUGUGGAAUUUACGGUGUAGCGGUGAAAUGCGUAGAUAUCGUAAGGAAGACCAGUGGCGAAGGCGGGUCUCUGGACAGUUCCUGACGCUGAGGCACGAAGGCCAGGGGAGCAAACGGG